rnacentral:misc_RNA from 1 species
GGAGAGUCCCUGUGCAUGCAGCGGCAGCUUGAAGUAUGCUCAUAGGGCUUGCGUGCAGCGCUGGUGCAACGAGAAAGGUGAUAUAACUUGUGAGAUCUGCCAUGAGUCAUACAAGCCUGGUUACACGGCACCUCCCAGAGCUAAUCCAGAUGAGACCACCAUUGAUAUUAGUGGAGGUUGGACAAUCACUGGUAGUGCCUUGGAUUUACGUGAUCCCCGGAUACUUGCAAUGGCAGCAGCACAGAGGCACUUUCUUGAGGCUGAAUAUGAUGAAUACGCUGCUACAAAUGCCAGUGGUGCUGCAUUUUGUCGCUCAGCUGCUCUAAUUUUAAUGGCUCUUCU